AUGCUAGCAGGCAAGAUGGCGAGCAGACAUAAAUCACUCAAGGAAGACAAGAUAAGGCAUGGCAUGGCUUGCCACUUGCUGUUGAUAAAGAGCUACUACAAUUCCUACAACCAGAUUUCCCUGUCAGUGGAUGAAAUCAUCAAGGGUAAAGCCCCGUUAAUGUUGAACCCACCAGGAACUCAAGAGCAACCGCAGCCUAAUACAAUUCCAAAGCGGUGGCCAAGACCUACUGCGGGCAUAUUACCAUUAUCAGUGGAUGGGUCUUAUAAUGGCUCAGAUGGUUCGGCGGGUUCUGGUAUGAUAUUGAGAGAUGAUAAAGGUGGGGUGAUCUUCGCAGCGUAUCGUAAAAUUUUCAAUUGCAACGAAGCCCUUGAGGCCGAACUACAAGCUAUGGCAGAGGGAUUCAAGUUGGCGGCCGAGCACUCUUCGGCUAAUAUUCUUUUACAGUCGGACUGUUCCUUAGCACUCAAGGCGCUGUCGGAUGACUCGUUGGAUAGAUCCAUGCAUGGCCAUCUGGUUAGAACGGUUAAGGGGUACAUGAAUGAUAGGGUUGUAAUUCCAGUUAAAAUUCAUAGAGAGCAAAACAGGGUUGCAGAUUUGUUAGCGAAUUAUGGUAGAUGUGGGGAUAGCACCAGGGGCGAACCCACGUUCAGGGGAGUGGGGGCCUAG
rnacentral:rRNA from 1 species